GACGAACGCUGGCGGCGUGCUUAACACAUGCAAGUCGAACGGAAAGGCCCUGCUUUUGUGGGGUGCUCGAGUGGCGAACGGGUGAGUAACACGUGAGUAACCUGCCCUUGACUUUGGGAUAACUUCAGGAAACUGGGGCUAAUACCGGAUAGGAGCUCCUGCUGCAUGGUGGGGGUUCGAAAGUUUCGGCGGUUGGGGAUGGACUCGCGGCUUACCAGCUUGUUGGUGGGGUAGUGGCUUACCAAGGCUUUGACGGGUAGCCGGCCUGAGAGGGUGACCGGCCACAUUGGGACUGAGAUACGGCCCAGACUCCUACGGGAGGCAGCAGUGGGGAAUAUUGCACAAUGGGCGGAAGCCUGAUGCAGCAACGCCGCGUGCGGGAUGACGGCCUUCGGGUUGUAAACCGCUUUCGCCUGUGACGAAGCGUGAGUGACGGUAAUGGGUAAAGAAGCACCGGCUAACUACGUG
rnacentral:rRNA from 1 species